CAGCCGCCACGGUAAUACGUAGGGUGCGAGCGUUAAUCGGAAUUACUGGGCGUAAAGCGUGCGCAGGCGGUUAUAUAAGACAGAUGUGAAAUCCCCGGGCUCAACCUGGGACCUGCAUUUGUGACUGUAUAGCUAGGGUACGGUAGAGGGGGAUGGAAUUCCGCGUGUAGCAGUGAAAUGCGUAGAUAUGCGGAGGAACACCGAUGGCGAAGGCAAUCCCCUGGACCUGUACUGACGCUCAUGCACGAAAGCGUGGGGAGCAAACAGGAUUAGAUACCCCCGUAGUCCCUGUCUCUUAUAA
rnacentral:rRNA from 1 species